GUUGCUGUUGUACGCAGAUGCACUCAGGUGAAUUAUUGUUUUCUUUUUCCUUCAGAAUUUAACUCCAACACUCAGCUGGGAAUGAGCACAGAUCCAGGCAAUGUUCUGUCAGGAUGGAGUCUGAUGUCUUGUCAGAUCAUGUAAUGUAGCUGCCGGAAUUGAGCCAGAGCCAGAAAAACAUCCUGGCAACUUGGAAGACCAAAUGAUUGGCAAGAAGGCUCAAGAAAUCCUACGGACAGAAGACACAUCUAGUAGAAGUCCACACCGCUCUUCUGUUCCGCCUAUUCAGUUUUUAGUAUUUUCCACACUUUUGUAUGUCUAAUUUUCUAAAUUACAAUAUAUAGCCAAACUCUGUUUUUAGGAAAAAAUGCAAAA